GGUGCUUGGAGGGUGCCGUCUGGCCAGACUAAUAAAGGUCUGUUUUACUUUCUCAGUUUGUCCGCUGUGUUCCCUCCCCGGUGAUCCUCACUGUAGUCAGCUCCUUGGAGCAGAUGGUGAGGCCCACGGUCUUACAUUUGGAGGCCCCAGCGAGAUCCCCAGGUAGGAACCUCCGAUUCAGCUGAGACUCAGUGGCAGGAUCCAGCAGGAGACCCUUGGACACAGACCUCAGAAAGCCUCUGGAGACCCUUCUGGCAAGCUAAUACCUCGGGCGGGAGAGAGGCUCUCCAGAACUAUCGUCAGCAUCUCCUGGCCGGCCUGAGGGGAGCCGCUCGGAAGCCUACCAAUUUGAGCAAGGUUUGAUUCCAAAAAUUUGGAUCUCCGCUGGAAAGGACCAUUUCCCGUCAUCCUGACUACCCCUUUGGCAGUAAAGGUAGCUGGGCACUCUGCCUAGAUCCACUGCAGCCAUUUGAAGGUGGAACCUCCUGAGGAAGCGACGUCAACAUGGCAGAUCGACCAGAACAAAAAGGACCCCCUCAAGAUAAGAUUGAUCAAAAACUAGUUCAGACAAUAUGGGGGCUCAUGGGGUUACUGUUCUUACCAGCCCCGAUAGAAGGGGGAUCUGGAUGCCAGCUGGUGCUAUCCAGCCACACUCCCCGAGAACUGGACUUGGUCCCUAAAAAAUGCCUUAACGGGAGCUCACAUUGCCACCAUUACUACUGAUACACAGCCCCAUUUUGUUGUAGACCUGUGUGCUCUGGGGUUUUCAAUCAUUAGUGGGGGGGGGCUGGUUCCAAUGAUAGGGUUUCAUCUGGGAAAAUGGGUACGGGGGGUUGCGGAGGGAGGUGUGGAACAGAUGAUAAUUUGAAAAGGAACCUCCAAGACAUAGAUAUUUAUGCCUGCCCCAUACAAAAAGAUAAAAGGUGUGAUGGGGGACCAGAAAACCACUGUUAUUAUUGGGGUUGUGAAUUUAUUGUCCCAUGGAAAAAUGAUGAUGUGUAUUUGACCUUAGAAUGACAAACACCAAGUGGCUCAUGUUCUAAAGGAAAAUGUAAUCCCAUCAAGUUAACCUUAAAACAAUGACAGAAUCUGUGUAAAGAUUGGAAAAAAGAAAAAUCCUGGACGGUGGCACUCAAUGCAGGUGGGAAGACCCUAUGACUGACCUCAUCAUCCAGCGUAGCCCAGUGAUAGUACUGCCUAAACCAGUGGGCAACAUCUAUAGGGUCUCCAGCCCUCAAGAAAAGAAGGCCAAAAGAACUCAUAAUGUGACAUUAGCUGCUCCUGAAUCUCCAAUCCAGCCAUACCUAAAAACCCUUAAUGCCAUGUAUACCUUGUUAAAUAAAUCUGACUACAGUGUUA